GACGUAGGUGGCGAACGUUAUCCGGAAUUAUUGGGCGUAAAGCGUGCGCAGGCGGUUGUGCAAGACAGAUGUGAAAUCCCCGGGCUCAACCUGGGAACUGCAUUUGUGACUGCACGGCUAGAGUGCGGCAGAGGGAGAUGGAAUUCCGCGUGUAGCAGUGAAAUGCGUAGAUAUGCGGAGGAACACCGAUGGCGAAGGCAAUCUCCUGGGCCUGCACUGACGCUCAUGCACGAAAGCGUGGGGAGCAAACAGG
rnacentral:rRNA from 1 species